rnacentral:rRNA from 1 species
GACGAACGCUGGCGGCGUGCCUAAUACAUGCAAGUAGAACGCUGAAGGGAGAGCUUGCUCUUCUGGAUGAGUUGCGAACGGGUGAGUAACGCGUAGGUAACCUGCCUGGCAGCGGGGGAUAACUAUUGGAAACGAUAGCUAAUACCGCAUAACAGCAAAUGUUGCAUGACAUUUGCUUAAAAGGUGCAAUUGCAUCACUACCAGAUGGACCUGCGUUGUAUUAGCUAGUUGGUGGGGUAACGGCUCACCAAGGCGACGAUACAUAGCCGACCUGAGAGGGUGAUCGGCCACACUGGGACUGAGACCCGGCCCAGACUCCUACGGGAGGCAGCAGUAGGGAAUCUUCGGCAAUGGACGGAAGUCUGACCGAGCAACGCCGCGUGAGUGAAGAAGGUUUUCGGAUCGUAAAGCUCUGUUGUAAGAGAAGAACGAGUGUGAGAGUGGAAAGUUCACACUGUGACGGUAUCUUACCAGAAAGGGACGGCUAACUACGUGCCAGCCGCCGCAGUAA